UGCAAGUCGAACGGAACGACGAAACAACCCCUUCGGGGUGCGUCUUCGGGCGUCGAGUGGCGGACGGGUGCGUAACGCGUAGGAAUCUACCUUAUAGUGGGGGACAACUCGAGGAAACUCGAGCUAAUACCGCAUAAUCCUUACGAGGGAAAGCAGGGGAUCUUCGGACCUUGUGCUAUUAGAUGAGCCUGCGUCGGAUUAGCUUGUUGGUAGGGUAUGGCCUACCAAGGCAACGAUCCGUAGCUGGUCUGAGAGGACGACCAGCCACACUGGGACUGAGACACGGCCCAGACUCCUACGGGAGGCAGCAGUGGGGAAUAUUGGACAAUGGGCGCAAGCCUGAUCCAGCAAUGCCGCGUGUGUGAAGAAGGCCUUAGGGUUGUAAAGCACUUUCAGUAGGGAAGAAAUGCGUGUAGCUAAUAACUGCGCGUCUUGACGGUACCUACAGAAGAAGCACCGGCUAACUCCGUGCCAGCAGCCGCGGUAAUACG
rnacentral:rRNA from 1 species